AUGUACUUACCACUGGCCUUAAAUUGUCUAUUACUCCAGUUCUAUUUGUCGUAGCUUUGCGCUGCGAAAAGCACUACUCUCCUCACUUUCCUCACUACACGCACCCACUAAUCUCACGUGGAUGGUCCAAAUAGUAGCUAUUUUGCACUUUCAGACCGUAAAUGCUGCUCCAUCGUCGACUGCUCGAUCGAGAAUACGAAAAUGUGUGCGCUUGUAAAAACACUAAUUAAAUUUUGCUUAUUUCAGAUAUGAGAUUUGAAGGUAGAAACAGCGGCAACAACUGGCCCAGUCCUCAAAAAUCGUUCAAUGCACCCAAGCCGUGGGAGAAGAGUGAUUGGAGAUCUGCGCCUUCAACUAGUGAAAGGUGGAUGCCUAAUAAUCCCUCGCAAAACAGGACUUUUUCAAAAGAGUCAGUAUUAGAUAUAGGUCCUCUUUGCCCUCCGCCACCGGGUAUUAACAGUUACAAUGACCGGUUCUCAUAUGGCGGUAAGUCCAUGAGUCCUGGUAUGAGGAAAUAUUAAAUAUAACAUGUGUUUUAUAUGGACUUCCUUUAUUAAUGUAUCCUCUGUAGCUACCAAGAUUUAUAUACAUUACGUUAUUUGCACACUUUUAUAAAUUACUAGCUUAAGCAUUUAAUAUUUCGUUCUAUGUUGGGUUUUGCUACUUAGUAGAAGUUCUGUGUAAACGUUUUAAACAAUAAAAAUGUAUGACUUUUUUAUAACA
rnacentral:lncRNA from 1 species